AUUGAACGCUGGCGGCAGGCCUAACACAUGCAAGUCGAACGGUAACAGGAAGCAGCUUGCUGCUUCGCUGACGAGUGGCGGACGGGUGAGUAAUGUCUGGGAAGCUGCCUGCUGGAGGGGGAUAACUAAUGGAAACGGUAGCUAAUACCGCAUAAUGUUGCAAGACCAAAGAGGGGGCCCUUCGGGCCUCUUGCCAUCGGAUGUGCCCAGAUGGGAUUAGCUUGUUGGUGGGGUAACGGCUCACCAAGGCGAUGAUCCCUAGCUGGUCUGAGGGGAUGACCAGCAGCACUGAAGCGAGGACACGGACCAAACUCGUACGGGAGACAGCGGUGGGAAAUAUAGCACAGGGGGCGCAGGCGAAAUGCGGCCAUGCGGCGUGAGUGAAAAAGACCUACGGGUUGUAAGUACUUUCAGCGGGGAGGAAGGAAGUAAAGUUAAUACCUUUGCUCAUUGACGUUACCCGCAGAAGAAGCACCGGCUAACUCCGUG
rnacentral:rRNA from 1 species